GAUGAACGCUGGCGGCGUGCCUAAUACAUGCAAGUCGAGCGAACAGACGAGGAGCUUGCUCCUCUGACGUUAGCGGCGGACGGGUGAGUAACACGUGGAUAACCUACCUAUAAGACUGGGAUAACUUCGGGAAACCGGAGCUAAUACCGGAUAACAUGUUGAACCGCAUGGUUCAACAGUGAAAGACGGUCUUGCUGUCACUUAUAGAUGGAUCCGCGCCGCAUUAGCUAGUUGGUAAGGUAACGGCUUACCAAGGCAACGAUGCGUAGCCGACCUGAGAGGGUGAUCGGCCACACUGGAACUGAGACACGGUCCAGACUCCUGCGGGAGGCAGCAGUAGGGAAUCUUCCGCAAUGGGCGAAAGCAUGACGGAACAACGCCGCGUGAGUGAAGAAGGUCUUCGGAUCGUAAAACUCUGUUAUUAGGGAAGAACAAAUGUGUAAGUAACUAUGCACGUCUUGACGGUACCUAAUCAGAAAGCCACGGCUAACUACGUG
rnacentral:rRNA from 1 species